UAGAGAGAGGGUGGUUACCUUUCCCAGAGACUGUCAGUAACAAAGAUAGAAAUGGAAUGAUUCUGAGCCUUCUGUUACUGAGGAUUCAAAUGCAACACGUGUGGCAUUUCUCUGAGGAUGGCUGCCAGUUGCAAGUUUUGGAGUGUUUGACUCUGCACCACCUCUCUGGGCACAGCUAUUCUUUCCUGCAGUGGCCUGCAAUGAUAGGGAUGUGGCUUCUAUGGAUGAGCUUCUGGACAAAGCACUGGAGAUAGCAAGGUAGGAAACUGAGACUCAGAGACAUUCAGCUGCUUGUCAAAGUGCCGCUUCUGGUUGAAUAAAUGAAUGACCGACGAGU